rnacentral:lncRNA from 1 species
AAUCUCCCGAGAGCCACUUCUUUGUUGUGGUUCUAAAAUUCUCAUAUCUGUGGGGGUAAAUAAGCAGUUGCAGAUGCAUCUAAAAUGUAUGAAGAGCAAUACCAGAGGAGAAUAUUCCCACUAUAACCAAAAAAGUUUCUCCAGGCUGGGGAAGAUGUAGAGGAAGAGCAGAUAUGACGAAGGCAAAGACGUGGGUGGAUUUCACAGAGAAGAUGAUACCCUGUUUUCUGGGAAGAGCCCCAGAGAGGUGGCAAGAUCAUGAGAAAUUUAGAGGAAUAGCACCACAAAAGAACAGAGCCAGAGAGAAGGACCGGCUUCGGGCAGAUUGAGAUGAGACCGGGACACAGACGAGCAGCAGGACCCCCAUGUCCGGGAUGAUCUGGCAGCAGAAAGAUGGUCCCCAUGGUUCAACACAGGACCCAGAAUCUGUGCAGAGAUUCUCCAGCCUUCACCUAAGAGAAAGGAGCAGUUCGGCAGCAUCCUGAAUGGACUGCUAACUCAGGACCAGGUUGAACCAGGGAGUCUCAGUAAAAACCUGUGGCGAUGAAUGGUGCCUCCUGCAACCCCAUGUCUGGACUGUGUACUGUGCUUGGCGGAUACUAUGUUUUUUACAAACUGAAGGUUCAAGACGUCAGUGGAGUAAAAAACAAACAAACAAACAAACAAACACAACAACAACUUGGGUUGGAAGAAAUGGGCUGCAGAUGUGGUUGGAAUAACACGAGCCAGAAUGACAAAUGGGGCCUGAUGAUGGGUCUGCAUUGCUGGAACCUCA